GGAGCUUGCUUUAUAUAACUUAGCAGCGAACGGGUGAGUAACACGUAGAUAAUCUAUCCUAUACUGGGGGAUAGCCCGAUGAAAGUUGGAUUAAUACCGCAUAUAGCUAUAUAGUUGCAUGAUUAUGUAGUGAAAGAUUUAUUGGUAUAGGAGGAGUCUGCGGCACAUUAGCUAGUAGGUGAGGUAAAGGCUUACCUAGGCGACGAUGUGUAGCCGGUCUGAGAGGAUGAACGGCCACAAUGGAACUGAGACACGGUCCAUACUCCUACGGGAGGCAGCAGUGGGGAAUAUUGCACAAUGGGGGAAACCCUGAUGCAGCAACGCCGCGUGAGUGAAGAAGGUUUUCGGAUUGUAAAGCUCUGUUAGCAGGGAAGAGGAAGGACGGUACCUGCAGAGGAAGCCACGGCUAACUACGUGCCAGCAGCCGCGGUAAUACGUAGGUGGCAAGCGUUGUUCGGAAUAACUGGGCGUAAAGGAUGCGUAGGCGGUUAAACAAGUUAUAUGUUAAAUAUAUAGGCUUAACCUGUAGAAAGCAUAUAAAACUGUUUAACUAGAGUGCAGGAGAGGUAAGUGGAAUUCCUAGUGUAGCGGUGAAAUGCGUAGAGAUUAGGAAGAACACCAGUGGCGAAGGCGACUUACUGGACUGUAACUGACGCUGAGGCAUGAGAGCAUGGGGAGCAAACAGGAUUAGAUACCCUGGUAGUCCAUGCUGUAAACGAUGGGUACUAGGUGUGGGUUGUGAAUAACAAUUCGUGCCGUCGCAAACGCAAUAAGUACCCCGCCUGAGGAGUACGAUCGCAAGA
rnacentral:rRNA from 1 species